GUGCAGCAGGCGCGAAAACUUCACAAUGUGGGAAACCACGAUGAGGGAACUCCCAGUGCUUGCGCUUUGCGUGAGCUGUUCUUUUGUCUAAAAAGCACGAGAAGUAAGGGCCGGGUAAGACGGGUGCCAGCCGCCGCGGUAAUACCCGCGACCCGAGUGGUGGUCAUUAUUAUUGAGCCUAAAACGUCCGCAGCCGGUUUGGUAGAUGCCUGGGUAAAUCGAAUCGCUUAACGAUCCGAAUUCCGGGUAGACCGCCAAACUAGGGACCGGGAGAGGUGUGAGGUACUUCUGGGGUAGGGGUAAAAUCCUGUAAUCCUAGGAGGAACACCAGUGGCGAAAGCGUCCCACUAGAACGGAUCCGACGGUAAGGGACGAAGCCCUGGGGCGCAAACGGGAUUAGAUACCCCGGUAGUCC
rnacentral:rRNA from 1 species